AUUGAACGCUGGCGGCAGGCCUAACACAUGCAAGUCGAGCGGAUGAAGGGAGCUUGCUCCUGGAUUCAGCGGCGGACGGGUGAGUAAUGCCUAGGAAUCUGCCUGGUAGUGGGGGAUAACGUCCGGAAACGGGCGCUAAUACCGCAUACGUCCUGAGGGAGAAAGUGGGGGAUCUUCGGACCUCACGCUAUCAGAUGAGCCUAGGUCGGAUUAGCUAGUUGGUGGGGUAAGGGCCUACCAAGGCGACGAUCCGUAACUGGUCUGAGAGGAUGAUCAGUCACACUGGAACUGAGACACGGUCCAGACUCCUACGGGAGGCAGCAGUGGGGAAUAUUGGACAAAGGGCGAAAGCCUGAUCCGGCCAUGCCGCGUGUGUGAAGAAGGUCUUCGGAUUGUAAAGCACUUUAAGUUGGGAGGAAGGGCAGUAAGUUAAUACCUUGCUGUUUUGACGUUACCAACAGAAUAAGCACCGGCUAACUUCGUG
rnacentral:rRNA from 1 species